rnacentral:lncRNA from 10 species
AUACAGUCUCUUUGUGCCUCACCCAGAAAGCUCUCCAGAUCCUCUGCCCUACAGUGGAACUAGAUGAAGAAAGGCAUCCAUGAAAUCACAGACUGGAAUUCACUCUCAACCACAGAGAUCUGACACCACGGCCUCAACUGCGAUCUGGGGGAGAGGAAGGACUCUCUGCUUGUCAGUUCAGCCCGAGAUCAAGCUUCUGUCAUCCUGAACUGGAAAGGAGAGGGUGAUGCUCGUCUCUCAAGUAUUGUGGGCCCUCACUGCCCUAGCUGAGACUUGAUGUUUUAGCUGCUGUAAGAGAAUAGUCUGGGUGGUUCAGAUCAAGCAUAAAUGUAUUUGUCACAAUUCUGAAGGUCAGCAAGUGCAAGGCCAACAUGCUUUGAAACUGGUAUCUGGUGAGAACCUGCUUCCUCCUUCAUAGUUGACCAUCUUUCUACUUUUCCUUCACCUGGUGGAAGAGGAGAGGGAGCUUUCUGGAGUCUCUAACAAGGGCACUGAUUCCAUUCAUGAGGGUGGAUGGGGCCUAGUCAUCUUCCAAAGGUGACCCAUUCACUUACCAACGGCCCAACCUCGUAACACCAUCACAUUGGGGUUAGAAUUCCAACAAAUGUCUGAGGGCGGAAAUAAACAUUCAGUCUAUAGCAGCACACUUUAUCAAUCAAUGAUUUUUAUUUACUGUGCAUCCUUAGAAUAAUUUGAAUUGAUUUUAUAUGUUU